rnacentral:rRNA from 1 species
AGAGCGAACGCUGGCGGCAGGCCUAAUACAUGCAAGUCGAACGAGCCCUUCGGGGUUAGUGGCGGACGGGUGAGUAACACGUGGGAACGUGCCUUUUGGUUCGGAACAACUCAGGGAAACUUGAGCUAAUACCGAAUGUGCCCUUCGGGGGAAAGAUUUAUCGCCAUUAGAGCGGCCCGCGUCUGAUUAGCUAGUUGGUGAGGUAAAGGCCCACCAAGGCUACGAUCAGUAGCUGGUCUGAGAGGAUGAUCAGCCACACUGGGACUGAGACACGGCCCAGACUCCUACGGGAGGCAGCAGUAGGGAAUCUUGCGCAAUGGGCGAAAGCCUGACGCAGCCAUGCCGCGUGAAUGAUGAAGGUCUUAGGAUUGUAAAAUUCUUUCAGCGGGACGAUAAUGACGGUACCGCAGAAGACGCCCGGCUAACUUCGUGCCAGCAGCCGC